rnacentral:rRNA from 1 species
UGAGGGAUAUUGCACAAUGGGCGAAAGCCUGAUGCAGCAACGCCGCGUGAGGGAUGACGGUUUUCGGAUUGUAAACCUCUGUCUUCGGUGACGAAAAAAUGACGGUAACCGGGGAGGAAGCCACGGCUAACUACGUGCC